AAAAGACUUAGUCCUAACCUUACCGUUAAUUCUCGCUAAACAUAUACAUGCAAGUAUCUGCGUUCCAGUGUAAAUGCCCUUACUCUCUUAAUAAGACAAAAGGAGCGGGUAUCAGGCGCACUCAGUUGUAGCCCAAGACGCCUUGCUCAGCCACACCCCCACGGGUACUCAGCAGUAAUUAACAUUAAGCAAUAAGUGUAAACUUGACUUAGUUAUAGCGAUUCUUUUCCCCCAGGGUUGGUAAAUCUUGUGCCAGCCACCGCGGUCACACAAGAGACCCAAAUUAACCGUACACGGCGUAAAGAGUGGUUAGAUAUUAUCACAGAGACUAAGAUCAAAAUGUAGCUGAGCUGUCAUAAGCCCAAGACACACCUAAGACCACCCCUAAGGCGAUCUUAGCGCCUCGUGAUCUAUUAAACUCCACGAAAGCUAAGGCCCAAACUGGGAUUAGAUACCCCACUAUGCCUAGCCCUAAAUCCUAAUGCUUACCCUACCAAAGCAUUCGCCUGGGAACUACGAGCACAAACGCUUAAAACCCUAAGGACUUGGCGGUGCCCCAAACCCACCUAGAGGAGCCUGUUCUAUAAUCGAUACCCCACGAUACACCCGACCACUCCUUGCCAAGGCAGCCUACAUACCGCCGUCGCCAGCUCACCUCCAUUGAAAGCACAAUAGUGAGCACAAUAGUCCAAACCCACUAACAAGACAGGUCGAGGUAUAGCCUAUGGAGCGGAAGAAAUGGGCUACAUUUUCUAAUAUAGAAAACAUACGGAAGGGGGUGUGAAACCACCCCCAGAAGGCGGAUUUAGCAGUAAAACGGGACAAUGAAGCCCGCUUUAAGUCGGCCCUGGGGCACGUACAUACCGCCCGUCACCCUCCUCAUAAGCUACAAGCCCCCAUUAAUUUAAUACACCACUAAGCUGAAGAUGAGGUAAGUCGUAACAAGGUAAGUGUACCGGAAGGUGCACUUAGCAUACC
rnacentral:ncRNA from 1 species